rnacentral:pre_miRNA from 1 species
UUUCUACUCCCUCCGUCCAAAAAUACUUGUCAUCAAAAUGGAUAAAAAGAGAUGUAUCUAAAACUAAAUUAUGUCUAGAUACAUUUCCUUUUAUCCAUUUUGAUGACAAGUAUUUCCGGACGGAGGGAAUAUUUG